UACCCGCGUAGUCCUAGCCGUAAACGAUACUCGCUAGGUGUCGGCCACGGUGCGACCGUUGUCGGUGCCGUAGGGAAGCCGUGAAGCGAGCCACCGUGGGAAGUACGGCCGCAAGGCUAGAAACUUAAAGGAAUUGGCGGGGGAGCACCACAACGGGUGGAGCUUGCGGUUUAAUUGGAUUCAACGCCGGAAAUCUUACCGGGACCGACAGCAACAUGAAGGCCAGGCUGAAGACUUUGCCGGAUUAGCUG
rnacentral:rRNA from 1 species